CACCCACUGAUGGCAGCAGGAGCUCGGCCUGGGUGACCGCUGCAGGAUUAGGCCCGUGUACUGUUUCUUUCUUGUCUCUCUCUGGACCCUGCAGGUUUUUGGUUCAUCUCCUGGGUGCCAGGAGCCAAGAUGCACAGCGCCGCCCUGCCUCUUAGACAAAUCAGCCCACAGCAGUUCCUGGAACUCUCCAAUCUGGUCAAAUAUAAAUCAAAAGCAGGAGGGUUGUUGGAGUGAAUUCAAGGACAGCUGAUGAGCCUGGAUCGGCGCCUUUACAACUCAAGGCAAAUAAAUGGUGGGCUGCUUUGGAGAGGAAAAAGGGAUUUUCUUGUUUUUGUUUUUAAGAGAAAAUAAAAGGGCGGCCUGCCGCUUCCCUCCCCCUC